rnacentral:rRNA from 1 species
CAGUCGCCACGGUAAUACAGAGGGUGCAAGCGUUAAUUGGAAUUACUGGGCGUAAAGCGCGCGUAGGUGGUUUGUUAAGUUGGAUGUGAAAGCCCCGGGCUCAACCUGGGAACUGCAUCCAAAACUGGCAAGCUAGAGUACGGUAGAGGGUGGUGGAAUUUCCUGUGUAGCGGUGAAAUGCGUAGAUAUAGGAAGGAACACCAGUGGCGAAGGCGACCACCUGGACUGAUACUGACACUGAGGUGCGAAAGCGUGGGGAGCAAACAGGAUUAGAUACCCGGGUAGUCCCUGUCUCUUAUAC